rnacentral:rRNA from 1 species
UACGUAGGGUGCAGGCGUUAAUCGGAAUUAUUGGGCGUAAAGCGCGUGUAGGCGGCUUAGCAAGUCGGGCGUGAAAGCCCUCGGCUCAACCGAGGAAGUGCACCCGAAACUGCUGAGCUUGAGUGCCGGAGAGGAUGGCGGAAUACCCCAAGUAGAGGUGAAAUUCGUAGAUAUGGGGUGGAACACCGGUGGCGAAGGCGGCCAUCUGGACGGUAACUGACGCUGAGACGCGAAAGCGUGGGGAGCAAACAGG